UUGAUUCAUUUGUUUUGCUUGUACGCCGAGAUGCCGCUGACAAUUGGAGUGUUGGGGCCCUCCGGCGGGCGCCUGGGUCCGGGCCGCGAUGGGCGCCGGGGCGGUCCCGCCGAGGCAACGUUCAGUGGUACGGUUCGCAGGGGGUUUGGGAGUUGUAAACUCGAUAAUGAUCCCUCCGCUGGUUCACCAACGGAGA
rnacentral:misc_RNA from 1 species